rnacentral:rRNA from 1 species
UACGGAGGGUGCAAGCGUUAUCCGGAUUCAUUGGGUUUAAAGGGUGCGUAGGCGGACAGGUAAGUCAGUGGUGAAAUCUCCGAGCUUAACUCGGAAACUGCCUUUGAUACUCUCUGUCUUGAAUAUGGUGGAGGUAAGCGGAAUAUGUCAUGUAGCGGUGAAAUGCUUAGAGAUGACAUAGAACACCUAUUGCGAAGGCAGCUUACUACGCCUAUAUUGACGCUGAGGCACGAAAGCGUGGGGAUCAAACAGG